GGAAUUUGCUGGCAUCCAGUUACAGCAGAGUUGAGACAUGAUAGCCUCCGCAAUUACUACUCGCAGGGUGUUGGCGUGAUUGCAAGAGCCAUGAUCGAGUUUGAGAACCCUCAGCUCCCUGCAGCUUUCAGAGAGGCCGUCAGCAUUGUCCAGAGUGAGAAGGAGGAGGAGCAGAGAAAUAUCGCCAUGACUUUCUGCACUGAGUUUCUUCAGAGUGCUUCUAUUGCCACGACAGUGACAAAAUCAGACCUCCGGGCGCAGUUCAUGGAGUAGAUCAAAGACACAAAUCCCAUCAUACGCAGGCUCAGUCUACGGGGCCUUGGCAGUAUUGUGCUUCAGCCAGAAAAAGUGAGAGGCAUGGAUUGUCCGGGGGACCAAGGAAGCCGAUGUCUAUCGAAUAGCUCAGAAAUGAGAGUGAGAUCCCCACACAAGCCUUGCUGUGGAGUUAGAAACUCUGUGACUCCUUCACUCCCUCUGCAGCUGGCCCUGACCCAAGCCUGUUUUCCCACC